UACGUAGGGGGCAAGCGUUAUCCGGAUUUACUGGGUGUAAAGGGAGCGUAGACGGGGAUGCAAGUUGGGUGUCAAAACUACCGGCUCAACUGGUAGUCGCACUCAAAACUGCAGCUCUUGAGUGAAGUAGAGGCAGGCGGAAUUCCUAGUGUAGCGGUGAAAUGCGUAGAUAUUAGGAGGAACACCAGUGGCGAAGGCGGCCUGCUGGGCUUUUACUGACGCUGAGGCUCGAAAGUGUGGGGAGCAAACAGG
rnacentral:rRNA from 1 species